GUGCUUGCCUUGGCAGCACAUAUACUAAAAUGGGAACAAUACAGGGAAGACUAGCAUGACCUCUAAGAAAUAAAAAAUAAACCAAUAAUAAGUCACUAAUUGG
rnacentral:snRNA from 1 species